GACGAACGCUGGCGGCGUGCUUAACACAUGCAAGUCGAACGGAAAGGCCCUGCUUUUGUGGGGUGCUCGAGUGGCGAACGGGUGAGUAACACGUGAGUAACCUGCCCUUGACUUUGGGAUAACUUCAGGAAACUGGGGCUAAUACCGGAUAGGAGCUCCUGCUGCAUGGUGGGGGUUGGAAAGUUUCGGCGGUUGGGGAUGGACUCGCGGCUUAUCAGCUUGUUGGUGGGGUAGUGGCUUACCAAGGCUGUGACGGGUAGCCGGCCUGAGAGGGUGACCGGCCACAUUGGGACUGAGAGACGGCCCAGACUCCUACGGGAGGCAGCAGGGGGGAAUAUUGCACAAUGGGCGGAAGCCUGAUGCAGCAACGCCGCGGGCGGGAUGACGGCCUUCGGGUUGUAAACCGCUUUCGCCUGUGACGAAGCGUGAGUGACGGUAAUGGGUAAAGAAGCACCGGCUAACUACGUG
rnacentral:rRNA from 1 species